rnacentral:misc_RNA from 1 species
AAGUCGUAACAAGGUUUCCGUAGGUGAACCUGCGGAAGGAUCAUUAACACGUAUCCAACGUUAAACCCCCUGUGAACCUUCAUUGUACGAGUUACAUCCACGUCAUAAACCGGCAAUCUCUGGUAAAUCAUCGCCGAACAGUUUUGAUUCAGAGACCUCUGGGAAGGGUGUACGGUAGUGCGAGGCAAUUGACCUGGCAUUCCUCUGCUUGUUAGUGUCUGAAAGUGUCACUAGCUAUGUACGGAUGGCGCAGUAACGAUCGCUGGAGGCCGACACGGCCGGCGACCAGGUCACUGGGCUACGGCCCCCCAAUGCUUGAACAACUGUUAACAAUGGAUAUCUUGGUUCUC